rnacentral:rRNA from 1 species
UAGUCCACGCCGUAAACGAUGAUUACUCGCUGUAGGCGAUACACAGUCUGUGGCUAAGCGAAAGUUUUAAGUAAUCCACCUGGGGAGUACGAUCGCAAGAUUGAAACUCAAAGGAAUUGACGGGGGCCCGCACAAGCGGAGGAACAUGUGGUUUAAUUCGAUGAUACGCGAGGAACCUUACCUGGACUUAAAUGUAGAUUGCAUAGCUUAGAGAUAGGCUUUUCUUCGGACUAUUUACAAGGUGCUGCAUGGUUGUCGUCAGCUCGUGCCGUGAGGUGUCGGGUUAAGUCCCGCAACGAGCGCAACCCUUGUCCUUAGUUGCUAACAUUUAGUUGAGAACUCUAGGGANACCGCCGGUGACAAACCGGAGGAAGGUAAGGAUGACGUCAAGUCAGCAUGCCCCUUACGCUCUGGGCUACACACGUGCUACAAUGGCCGUGACAAAGAGUUGCUACUUUGUGAAAACAAGCUAAAUCUCAUAAACGCGGCCUCAGUUCGGAUUGCAGGCUGAAACUCG